UACGGGGGGAGCAAGCGUUGUUCGGAUUUACUGGGCGUAAAGGGCGCGUAGGCGGUCAGCACAAGUCAGUUGUGAAAUCUCCGGGCUUAACUCGGAAAGGUCAACUGAUACUGUGCGACUAGAGUGCGGAAGGGGCAACUGGAAUUCUCGGUGUAGCGGUGAAAUGCGUAGAGAUCGGGAGGAACAUCCGUGGCGAAGGCGGCCAUCUGGACCAACACUGACGUUGAGGCACGAAAGCGUGGGGAGCAAACAGG
rnacentral:rRNA from 1 species